rnacentral:rRNA from 1 species
UACAGAGGUCUCAAGCGUUGUUCGGAUUCAUUGGGCGUAAAGGGUGCGUAGGCGGCGCGGUAAGUCGGGUGUGAAAUCUCGGAGCUUAACUCCGAAACUGCAUUCGAUACUGCCGUGCUUGAGGACUGGAGAGGAAACUGGAAUUUACGGUGUAGCAGUGAAAUGCGUAGAGAUCGUAAGGAAGACCAGUGGCGAAGGCGAGUUUCUGGACGGUAACUGACGCUGAGGCACGAAGGCCAGGGGAGCAAACGGG